GUAGCGAUAGUCUAGUGGUCAGGACGUCUUGCCAAUACGGCCUUGCAAACACAAGCGUCACCGGACCUGGCUCCUGCAUCCUGCAGUUUGCCUAUAAGGGUAUUAUGGGGAUCAAGAAGAUCGUAGGUUCGAAUCCUACUCGCUACA
rnacentral:tRNA from 1 species